UGCUACCUACGGGGGGCAGCAGUGAGGAAUAUUGGUCAAUGGGCGAGAGCCUGAACCAGCCAAGUCGCGUGAGGGAAGAAGGUACAGCGUAUCGUAAACCUCUUUUGUCAGGGAACAAAGGCGGGGACUAGUCCCCGGAUGAGGGUACCUGAAGAAAAAGCAUCGGCUAACUCCGUGCCAGCAGCCGCGGUAAUACGGAGGAUGCGAGCGUUAUCCGGAUUCAUUGGGUUUAAAGGGUGCGCAGGCGGGCCUUUAAGCCGGCGGUGGAA
rnacentral:rRNA from 1 species